GGAAUUAAAAUUUAAUUUUUUGGGGGAUGGAAAAAGAUGCAGAAGCCUCAUAAAAGUAUAAACGCUCUGCUGAAUUCUCAGCCGUUUGGAGAUCACAGUGAAAGCAUGUUCUGCUGACAGUGAUUUCAGCGGGUGCUGAAGACGAUGAAGAUGGAUUUAUGUAAGACAGUUUCAUUACACCAGCUUAAUUUAACCUUUGCGGGGAGGAUCAUUAAAAAUCCAUCAUGGAGAAAGGAAGCAGAACUUCAAACGUUCGCCAAGGGGAAGGCGUUUAGGGCUCUCCCACGCCGGCUACAAUUACCAAUCACGUUGCCUUCCAAUAACAACAGACAACAGGCCGAGUCUGGGAGGGGGA
rnacentral:lncRNA from 1 species